rnacentral:rRNA from 1 species
GACGAACGCUGGCGGCGUGCUUAACACAUGCAAGUCGAGCGGAAAGGCUCCUUCGGGGGUACUCGAGCGGCGAACGGGUGAGGAACACGUGAGUAAUCUGCCCUGUGCUCUGGGAUAGCCACCGGAAACGGUGAUUAAUACCGGGUACAACCACUAUAGGCAUCUGUUGGUGGUGGAAAGUUUUUUCGGCAUGGGAUGUGCUCGCGGCCUAUCAGCUUGUUGGGGAGGUAAUGGCUCACCAAGGCUUUGACGGGUAGCCGGCCUGAGAGGGUGACCGGUCACACUGGGACUGAGACACGGCCCAGACUCCUACGGGAGGCAGCAGUGGGGAAUAUUGGACAAUGGGCGGAAGCCUGAUCCAGCAACGCCGCGUGAGGGAUGACGGCCUUCGGGUUGUAAGCCUCUUUCAGUACCGACGAAGCGAAAGUGACGGUAGGUACAGAAGAAGGACCGGCCAACUACGUGCCAGCAGCCGCAGUAAAAC